AUUGAACGCUGGCGGCAUGCCUUACACAUGCAAGUCGAACGGUAACAGGCCGCAAGGUGCUGACGAGUGGCGAACGGGUGAGUAAUGCAUCGGAACGUGCCCAGUCGUGGGGGAUAACUGCUCGAAAGAGCAGCUAAUACCGCAUACGACCUGAGGGUGAAAGCGGGGGACCGUAAGGCCUCGCGCGAUUGGAGCGGCCGAUGUCGGAUUAGGUAGUUGGUGGGUAAAGGCCUACCAAGCCGACGAUCUGUAGUUGGUCUGAGAGGAAGACCAGCCUCACUGGGACUGGGACACGGCCCAGACUCCUACGGGAGGCAGCAGUGGGGAAUUUUGGACAAUGGGGGCAACCCUGAUCUAGCAAUGCCGCGUGCAGGAAGAAGGCCUUCGGGUUGUAACUGCUUUUGUCAGGGAAGAAAUCCUGUGGGUUAAUACCUCGUGGGGAUGACGGUACCUGAAGAAUAAGCACCGGCUAACUACGUGCCAGCCGCCGCCGUAACAC
rnacentral:rRNA from 1 species